rnacentral:tRNA from 1 species
GGAGAGGUGCUAGAGUGGACGAAUAGGCGCGCCUGGAAAGCGCGUAGGUCGGGAGACCGGCCUCGCGGGUUCGAAUCCCGCCCUCUCCGCCA